rnacentral:rRNA from 1 species
CGCAUCUGUGCAUGCAGCAUAUCAAUAAGCGGAGGAAAAGAAACUAACAAGGAUUCCCCUAGUAACGGCGAGUGAAGCGGGAAGAGCUCAAAUUUGAAAUCUUAAAGGGUUUCCCUUUACGAAUUGUAGUUUAAAGAAGUGUUUUCUGUUGAGGUUUUGGUAAAAGUUCUUUGGAAUAGGGACAUCAUAGAGGGUGAGAAUCCCGUAUUUGACCUUUACUUUCAACUUUGUGAUACACUUUCAAAGAGUCGGAUUGUUUGGGAAUGCAGUCCAAAAUGGGUGGUAAAUUUCAUCUAAAGCUAAAUAUUGGCGAGAGACCGAUAGCGAACAAGUACCGUGAGGGAAAGAUGAAAAGAACUUUGAAAAGAGAGUUAAACAGUACGUGAAAUUGUCAAAAGGGAAGCGUUUGACACCAGUGUUGUUUUUCUGAAAAUCAAUUAAAGAACUGUUUAUGCUAAGUUGUUUAGACUUUAUCAGCUAACUGUUUAGUUUUGAGCUUUUCUUUAAUGCACUUUUCAGUUAACAAGUCAACAUCAAUUUCUUUUGCUGUAAAAAAGCUUGAGGAAGGUGGCUUGAGAUUCGUCUUAAGUGUUUAUAGCCUCUUGCCUAUGCAGUCGGAGAGAUUGAGGUCUGCAGCGUAGAUCCUUCGGGGCUAAAUGCAUUUGUGCUAAGUUAUAACAUUUUAUAGACAACUUGUUGACUAUGAUUUGUCCUGUAGCUUACUCGCUUAUGUUAUUUUACCUACGCUUAGGAUGUUGAGCGCAUGUCUCUCUCU